rnacentral:tRNA from 1 species
GAGGGCGUAGCUCAGUGGUAAAGCGCAUGCCUCGCAUGCAGGAGGUCCUGGGUUCAGUCCCCAGUGUCUCUG